UUUCAAACUCUCUUCCUCAGUGGGGCAACAAUUAGAGUUUAUCUAUUGCUAGUGCUUACCAUUUUAGGCUCCUUUAAUUAGAGUGUUUUAAAUUAGUGUUAUUUUAAUUUUGCUUAUCUCCUGAGACAUUAUAGAGGAUAAAUAGCAAAUGAAAUAAUGUACAUGAAAACACAUUGUAACCCAUAAACCAUCAUACAGAUGUGUGUUAUAUACAGUUUUAUAUUUGAGGAUAUAGCUUUAUGCAUUAGUACUGCUUCCUCCUCAGGGAUGUCUCCAAAAAUUAAGGCUAAUAUAAUGCAUUUAUAUGCAUGUAUUACUAAUAUAUAUUAGAGUAAGUUACAAGUAAUAUAGCAUGUAAAGCAUCUGACACAUUGUAUACAUUGCUUUUCCCUCCUAAUACAAACUCAUUAAGUAUCUCAUUCUUCUCUGCAACUUCUAAAACAGAGGCUUGAACAAAUUAGAUAUCAGUUAUAUUAAAUUAGGAUAAAUGCAUAGUUUUAUGCAUUCAUUUUCCUCAUAAGUAAAUUGGAGAUAAUACUUCCCAUUCUAUCUACCUUAUUGGACUGUUGUGAUAUUCAGAACACAAUGAAUGUGACAAAAAUGUAUAAAGUGCUAUAACAUAAGACAAUAUUGCAAAAUAUAAACCGUGAAAUAUGUACAUCAGAACUAUCUGAAUUACUUUGAAAAUAUUGAGUCCCGGGACUCUCCUCAAGGUUUUCUAAUUCAUAGCGUGGCAAAGAUACCUGAAAAUUUGCCUUUUAAUAAAAUCUCCAGAUAAUUCUUUUUCACUUUUUAAAUUUUUAAAAUAUUUUUAUGUUCCUUUUUUUGGUCCCUGGGUGCUUCAUAAACUUUUUUUUUUUUUUUUUUGAGACAGAGUCUUGCUCUGUCACCCAGGCUAGUGUGCAAUGGCGCAAUCACGGCUCACUGCAACCUCUGCCCCCAGGGUUCUAGGGAUUCUCCUAUCUCAGCCUCCCAAGUAGCUGAGAUUAGAGGCGCCCACCACCACACCUGGCUAAUUUUUUUGUAUUUUUAGUAGAGACAGGAUUUUGCCAUGUUGUCCAGGCUGAUGUUGAACUCCUGACCUCAGGUGAUCCACCUGCCUCGGCCUCCCAAAGUGCUAGGAUUACAGGCAUGAGCCACCACACCCAGCCACAUAAUUUUUUAAAUUGUCCUAAGAGAUAAAAAGGGAGAUGGUAGUGGUGUUUGCAGUGAGGAUGAUGACAAGGUGAACCACAACAAUGACUGGAAGAGGAGCUCCAUGAGACAAAGGAAAGACAAUGACUUUUUGCUUGCCAUUGUAACCUUGGCACCUGUUCUAUAAUCAGUGAUCAAUAUAUGGCUUUUGAAUGAUUUGAUGGUGAUGAUGCUGUCUUUGAAACUCUCUUUGUGACACCCAACACAGUGAAGGUGACUUGUUCUUUGAGACAACAGAUGCAGGUCAAGCAUGUGAAUUUCUGUCUGUGUCUUGCCAAAAGGAAGAGGAUUUCCUUCUUGUGUUUUCUUCCUCUUCCAUUUGAACAAUGUCCACAAACUAGGAGAAGGUAUAUAAACACAUAGAUUGUGUUUGCACACCCAGCUCUGGGUUGAUAGUGGCCACAUUUCCUGCCUUAUGAAACUGUCAGAAUCUCUGUUGUCAAAGUUCUCUUUGUUCCCCAAGUACAAUUCAUUAACCUUCCCCAGAGCUGAGAAGGAUGCCCAGGGGCCUCGCCCUAUAUUGUUGGCCUUUGGCUGUCUCCUUCCAAUCACUUCCCACAGUAGUUCAGAAAAGGCAAGGAGGAGUUCCUUGGAUAUUGUGCAUAAGGUUGAUGGCUUGAAGAGGUGGCUAAUUGCCUGAAGACAGGCUUGAUUAUUUUUACCAACACAAAAAGAGAUCAAGUGAUCCAGGAAGCUCUUAUCCUGGCUUAUAACAUAGGCAGGAAACAGUUACAAGAUUGUUGAUUGUUACAAAAAAAUGAUCCCCCCACCAUCUCAACACACACACAUAUGCAUAUAUGUUACUGUGUGUCAACUUCCAGUGUGGAGCAGCUGGGAGUUCCUUGGGCUUGGCUUUGGGUAAGUGUUCCAACUCAUUACCCAAAUGAAAGGCCCGUGAAGCCACCUGCUCUCUUGUGUUAAGCCUUCCCCAGAAGAC
rnacentral:lncRNA from 10 species